rnacentral:rRNA from 1 species
AUGAACCGGGCCCUAAUCAUUCUGCUUCCUAAAAGUAACGAGGCGCGAUCCUCGGCCGACUUCCGACCCAUCUCCCUGGAGAACUGCCCAAUAAAAGGUAUUGCAAAACUCCUGACCAACCGUCUAAAACCUCUAAUCCCUCUCCUGGUCCACGCCGAUCAAACAGGGUUUAUCUCUGGACGAAAUAUCUCCGAAAACUUCCUCUAUGCUGCCGAUAUUCUCCACUGUUGUUCCAAGCGCAAAGCUCCCACUCUUGUGAUCAAACUCGAUUUCCGUAAGGCCUUCGACUCUGUUUGCUGGACGUCGCUCCUGCACACGUUAAAGACUAGAGGUUUCCCCGAUCGUUGGUGUGGCUGGAUUGAUGCCCUCCUUGCCACCGGCUCCACUGCCGUUAUGCUUAAUGGAGUUCCUGGUAGAUGGAUUCAGUGUAAAAAUGGUCUUUGCCAAGGUGAUCCGCUCUCCCCCUAUCUCUAUCAUCAUUGCAGACAUCCUGCAGCAAUUAAUCAUUAA